UAUCAGGGUGGGGAGAUGGCUGAGCUGAAACUGAAAGUAAAGUUGUUCUUUUGUUCAGGAUCCAUUUUGAGACGACAGAGCAGAAAAGACUAUAUGGAGAUUAUUGAAAAAUAAAGGGUCAGUGCUCUAAAAUGAGUCUCUCUGGGGAGAGAGAGGAGGGGGGCCCUGCCUCUAAAAUGAGUCUCUCCGGGAAGAGAGAGGAGGGGGGCCCUGCCUCUAAAAUUCAUCUCUCUGAGGGACAUGACACCAAAGAUAAGAGCGCCCGGCCCGGGAUUUGAACCAGCCACCCUUUUGGUCACAGCUCCAACUCCAACCUGAGUUAAUCUUCAGAAAUAAGCAUGAGUUAAUCUGCCAAAAUGAAGACAAAAUGCUCUGCAGACAUACAUGGUAUCACUUGUUAUGCAUAAUUAUCAUACAUAACUCAUCGCCAAAAGCACAAGACAUACUGUUGCAUGUUGGUCUAUAUUAUUUAUGGGUUGAUCACAUAGAAAUAUAAAACAUUCUUUUAACUACUACAAUGCAAUUACAUGUGGAGCAGGAACCACUGACUCACUGCAUUAUUCUAUAGUAUUAUCAAGACACCUGCUGUUAACUCUUAACUACUUAGGACAGCUCACGAGGUGUCCUAAAUAUCUACUGACUAGGUGGGUAGGUAAUUUAGGCAAUGGGUAGGUAACUAGGUCAUUUAUACCCAUAAGUGUAAAAUGUCUUUAUUCUCAGCACUUAUACGACCAAUUUUCUACUCAGACACUUUGGCCAUAUGGACCCAGAUCUCAACAUAUUGUCAUAAAAAAACUGAAUGUUUGAUCUCAAAAUGUUGUUAU